CAAUGAUCUGCAUAAAAGACACCAGUCUUCAUAAAUUUCACCAACUCCUGGGACAUUCACCAAAACUAUAGAAAAUCACGUGCCGCUGUACUCACACCAAAAAAGGGGACACCAUAUAAAGCUUGAGGCCAGUGAUUCCACGAGAUAUCACUUCAUCACUUGCUGGUUGAAGGUCAUCAAGCCGGUGCCACGAAAUUUCCUACAAACCAACAACAAAAAUUUCUCAACAACCAAAAUUUCAAUCAUUAAUCACCUACAACUGACCGUGAGAAGUGAUAAUGUUACAAAGCAUAUUCAACUCAAGCUUCCGAGAAUAAACAAUGCAGACCACAUAUAGAUUCAUGUAAAUAGAAGAACACCAGUACUCAAAUACGAAAAGGACAAAAUAGCAAAUGCAUUAUAAUGAAUACAACAUAACACUAUUAGAAAAUGAUCCUACCGGAAAGAAAACAAAACUUAAA